GUAAGAUUAAAACUCAAAGGAAUAGACGGGGACCCGCACAAGCGGUGGAGCAUGUGGUUUAAUUCGACGAUACGCGAAGAACCUUACCUGGCCUUGACAUAGAAAGAACUUUCCAGAGACGGGUUGGUGCUAGUUUACUAGAGCUUUCAUACAGGUGCUGCACGGCUGUCGUCAGCUCGUGUCGUGAGAUGUUGGGUUAAGUCCCGCAACGAGCGCAACCCUCGUGUUUAGUUACUAACAGUUCGGCUGAGGACUCUAAACAGACUGCCUGGGUAACCAGGAGGAAGGUGAGGACGACGUCAAGUCAUCAUGGCCCUUACGGCCAGGGCUACACACGUGCUACAAUGGGGUAUACAAAGAGCUGCAAUACGGUGACGUGGAGCAAAUCUCAUAAAAUAUCUCCCAGUUCGGAUUGAAGUCUGCAACUCGACUUCAUGAAGUUGGAAUCGCUAGUAAUCGUAGAUCAGCAAUGCUACGGUGAAUACGUUCCCGGGUCUUGUACUCACCGCCCGUCACACCAUGGGAAUUGAAUUCAUUCGAAGCGGGGAUGCUAAAAUAGCUACCUUCCACAGUGGAUUUAGUAACUAGGGUGAAGUCGUAACAAGGUA
rnacentral:rRNA from 1 species